ACGGGUACGGAACACGUAUACACCUGCUUUAUCUGGGGGAUAGCUUUCGAAAGGAGAUAUACCAUAUAUGUUGAAUGGCAUCAUUCGACAUUGAAAACUCGGUGAUAGAGAUGGCACGCGCAGAUAAUAAUUGUGAGGUACGGCUCACCAAGUCUACGAUCUUAGGGGCCUGAAAAGGGUGAUCCCACACUGGUACUGAGACACGGACCAACUCCUACGGGAGCAGAGUGAGAAUAUUGGACAAUGGUGAGAGCUUGAUCCAGCCAUCCGCGUGAGGACGACUGCCCUAUGGGUUGUAAACUUUCUUUGUAUAGGGAUAAAACCUACCCUCGUGAGGGUAAGCUGAAGGUACUAUACGAAUAAGCACCGGCUAACUCCGUUGCCAGCAGCCGCGGUAAUACGGAGGGUAGCAAGCGUUAUCCGGAUUUAUUGGGUUUAAAGGGUCCGUAGCGGAUCUAGUAAGUCAGUGGUGAAAUCUCACAGUUAACUGUGAAACUGCCAUUGAUACUGCAGGUCUUGAGUGUUGUUGAGGUAGCUGGAAUAAGUAGUGUAGCGGUGAAAUGCAUAGAUAUUACUUAGAACACCAAUUGCGGAAGGCGA
rnacentral:rRNA from 1 species